rnacentral:rRNA from 1 species
GAUGAACGCUGGCGGCGUGCCUAAUACAUGCAAGUCGAGCGAACAGGCGAGGAGCUUGCUCCUCUGACGUUAGCGACGGACGGGUGAGUAACACGUGGAUAACCUACCUAUAAGACUGGGAUAACUUCGGGAAACCGGAGCUAAUACCGGAUAAUAUAUUGAACCGCAUGGUUCAAUAGUGAAAGACGGUUUUGCUGUCACUUAUAGAUGGAUCCGCGCCGCAUUAGCUAGUUGGUAAGGUAACGGCUUACCAAGGCAACGAUGCGUAGCCGACCUGAGAGGGUGAUCGGCCACACUGGAACUGAGACACGGUCCAGACUCCUACGGGGGGCAGCAGUAGGGAAUCUUCCGCAAUGGGCGAAAGCCUGACGGAGCAACGCCGCGUGAGUGAUGAAGGUCUUCGGAUCGUAAAACUCUGUUAUUAGGGAAGAACAAAUGUGUAAGUAACUAUGCACGUCUUGACGGUACCUAAUCAGAAAGCCACGGCUAACUACGUG